AGAGUUUGAUCCUGGCUCAGGAUGAACGCUGGCGGCGUGCCUAACACAUGCAAGUCGAACGAGAAGCUAACCUCUGAUUCCUUCGGGAUGAUGAGGUUGGCAGAAAGUGGCGAACGGGUGAGUAACGCGUGGGUAAUCUACCCUGUAGGUGGGGGAUAACCCUCCGAAAGGAGGGGUAAUACCGCAUAAUAUCUUCUCCUCCUAAGAGAAGAAGAUUAAAGAUGGCCUCUAUACUAUGCUAUCGCUUCAGGAUGAGCCUGCGUCCUAUUAGUUAGUUGGUGGGGUAAUGGCCUACCAAGACCACAAUGGGUAGCCGGUCUGAGAGGAUGUACGGCCACACUGGGACUGAGAUACGGCCCAGACUCCUACGGGAGGCAGCAGUGGGGAAUAUUGCGCAAUGGGGGAAACCCUGACGCAGCGACGCCGCGUGGAUGAUGAAGGCCUUUGGGUUGUAAAAUCCUGUUCUGGGGGAAGAAACCUUAAGGGUCCAAUAAACCCUUAAGCUGACGGUACCCCAAGAGAAAGCUCCGGCUAAUUAUGUGCCAGCAGCCGCGGUAAUACAUAAGGAGCAAGCGUUAUCCGGAAUUAUUGGGCGUAAAGAGCUCGUAGGCGGUCUUAAAAGUCAGGUGUGAAAUUAUCAGGCUCAACCUGAUAAGGUCAUCUGAAACUUUAAGACUUGAGGAUAGAAGAGGAAAGUGGAAUUCCCG
rnacentral:rRNA from 1 species